rnacentral:tRNA from 1 species
ACUAAAUUGGCAGAAUUAUUAUGUUUUAAAUUUAGAAUUUAAUUAAGUGAUUUUAAUCACAUUUAGUA